CAGCCUAUGGUAUCUGAGGUCCAGGAGAGAUGACCUGCGCUGUUUUCCUCUGAGGAGAUAUCUGAAAAUUUCAUCGGAUCACAAGCAAAGACCUCCUGGGGACCUUCAAUGCAUCCCUUGACAAAUUUGUGCCUGGCCUGCUGAAACUGUACUGGUCUAAGAAGGGAGCUCUUGGUGAGGAGAUGGAAGACCUCCUGGAUAAACUUGAUGAACAGACAUCCAACACUGUGUCCAACGGGCACUGAGAGGCCUGCCCAUUUUCCUCAAGAGAAGAU